rnacentral:rRNA from 1 species
UACGGAGGGGGCGAGCGUUAUUCGGAAUUAUUGGCGUAAAGGGCGCGUAGGCGGUCCGACAAGUCAAAGGUGAAAUCCCUCGGCUCAACUGAGGAACUGCCUUUGAAACUGUCGGACUUGAGUCCGGGAGAGGGUAGUGGAAGUUCCCGAAUGUAGCGGUGAAAUGCGUAGAUAUCAGGAGGAACACCGGUGGUGUAGACGGCUCUCUGGACCGAUA